CGCCCUCCACCCCCGACCCCCGACCCCCCUCACCCCUCACCCCACCCCGCCCCCCUCCGCCCGCCGUCCUCCUUGAUCCGUCGCGAGCGCCCCGCGACCAAGGAUCGUCCCGGUCGGCGCCCGCGCCCAACCCGCCCCCGGUUCGCCCCCCCCCCCCUCCUCCCGCCGCCGCCGCCGCCGCCCCUCGUCGACGCGGUCGCCGGUGCCGAGCUAUACGGACCGACGGUUACUCACCACCUUCCGUAGCGCCGGCAUAUCCCAUCCCGACGUACCCGUACCGUACCGUACGCGGUAGAUACAGGUAUAUAUAUAUAUAUAUACCGGGUAGCGCGUACGCCUACGCCUUCGAAACGGCGAACGGCGAACGCCGAACGCCGAACGACGAACGACCACCGUCGCCCCGUUGCCGUUCCCGUUGCCGUUGCGCCGCUUUUGCUCUUCUUCUUGCCACUUCCACCACGCAUAGAGAAGAGAGGAGGUGUUUCUGCCCCGCGCCGUUAAGCGGCGAUCGCGCGAUCCUCGAGAAAUGAAGAAGACGGAGAAGAAGCAGCUACCCAGAUAGGAAACUAAACGAAUAUAAUUAAGUAAAUAUAUUAAAAGAAAGAAGAAGAGCGGAACAUCGUCUAAGGAGAACAAGAAAAAGAAAAAAGGGGGAAUAAAAAAAGAAAAAGAAUUAAAAGAAGGAAAAGCAACGUACGCAUAUAUAUAUAUCGUAAUAAUAAUAAUAAAAAGAAUAAGAAGAAGACGGAGAAGAGGAAGAGAUUAUACGACGUAAAAAUGAUGCCGUCUGCGCAGGACGCGUCUAACAAAACUACAAGAUUCUCUGAAGAGCUGGUAAAAGGAUAUCGCGAUUCGGCCUAGUUAUCACCUACGUAUAAUAUACAUAUAUAUAUACAUGUACAAAUAUAUAUAUAUCUAUAUUAAAUAAAAUAAAAUAAAACAAAGAAA